rfam:Danio rerio chromosome 14, GRCz11 reference primary assembly.
AUAAUUAAAUAAAGUUUGAUCAUUCAGCUAACUGAUUAUAUGAAUGAGUGGCAGUUGAACAUGGGUGAGCCGGUCCUAAGGGACGAGCCUACGCCGUUCGGAGGGGAGGGGCCAGCUCGACCGAAAGGGAGUCGGGUCCAGAUGCCCGAGCCCGGAGCGGCAGAGACGGGCGCCGCGAGGUGCCUAGUGCGGUGAUGCAAACAAACCCGGAGAUGCCGGCGGGUGCCCUGGGAAAGAGUUCUCUUUUCUUUGUGAAGAGCAGGGCGCCCUGGAACAGGUUCGCCCCAAGAGUGGGGCCCGAGCCCUGGAAAGUGCCGCGCUUCUAACGGCGUCCGGUGAGCUCUCGUCGGCCCUUGAAAAUCUGGGGGAGAAGGUGUAAAUCUCGCGCCAGGCCGUACCCAGAUCCACAGCAGGUCUCCAAGGUGAACAGCCUCUGCCG